GACGAACGCUGGCGGCGUGCCUAAUACAUGCAAGUAGAACGCUGAAGGAGGAGCUUGCUUCUCUGGAUGAGUUGCGAACGGGUGAGUAACGCGUAGGUAACCUGCCUGGUAGCGGGGGAUAACUAUUGGAAACGAUAGCUAAUACCGCAUAAUAGCAGUUGUUGCAUGACAACUGUUUGAAAGGUGCAAAUGCAUCACUACCAGAUGGACCUGCGUUGUAUUAGCUAGUUGGUGGGGUAAAGGCUCACCAAGGCGACGAUACAUAGCCGACCUGAGAGGGUGAUCGGCCACACUGGGACUGAGACACGGCCCAGACUCCUACGGGAGGCAGCAGUAGGGAAUCUUCGGCAAUGGACGGAAGUCUGACCGAGCAACGCCGCGGGAGUGAAGAAGGUUUUCGGAUCGUAAAGCUCUGUUGUAAGAGAAGAACGAGUGUGAGAGUGGAAAGUUCACGCUGUGACGGUAUCUUACCAGAAAGGGACGGCUAACUACGUG
rnacentral:rRNA from 1 species